UAGGACUGGUUUUUCUUAAGUCAUGCAUAAAUCUUUCGACUUUUACUAAACAUUUCUGUGGAGAGGAACAUCAAUGAGUUUGAUGUAUUUUUGUGAGCUUUUCUCUGGCAAAGCU